rnacentral:rRNA from 1 species
UACGGGAGGCAGCAGUGGGGAAUAUUGCACAAUGGGCGAAAGCCUGAUGCAGCUAUGCCGCGUGUAUGAAGAAGGCCUUAGGGUUGUAAAGUACUUUCAUCGGGGAGGAAAAAACAAAACUAAUAAUUUUUAUUUCUUGACGUUACCCCGAAAAAGAAGCACCGGCUAACUCCGUGCCAGCAGCCGCGGUAAUACGGAGGGUGCUAGCGUUAAUCAGAAUUACUGGGCGUAAAGAGCACGUAGGUGGUUUUUUUAAGUCAGAUGUGAAAUCCCUGGGCUUAACCUAGGAACUGCAUUUUGAAACUGAAAUACUAGAGUAUCGUAGAGGGAGGUAGAAUUCUAGGUGUAGCGGUGAAAUGCGUAGAUAUUUUGGAGGAAUACCUGUGGCGAAAGCGGCCUCCUAAACGAAUACUGACACUGAGGGUGCGAAAGCGUGGGGAGCGAAACAGGGAUUAGGAUACC